rnacentral:rRNA from 1 species
GUGUCAGCAGCCGCGGUAAGACGAACCACCCAAACGUUAUUCGGAAUUACUGGGCUUAAAGGGUGCGUAGGCGGCGCGGAAAGUCAGGUGUGAAAUCCCUCGGCUCAACCGAGGAACUGCGCUUGAAACUACCGUGCUCGAGUGAGACAGGGGUGAGCGGAACUUCGGGUGGAGCGGUGAAAUGCGUUGAUAUCCGAAGGAACACCGGUGGCGAAAGCGGCUCACUGGGUCUUUUCUGACGCUGAUGCACGAAAGCUAGGGGAGCAAACGGGAUUAGAUACCCCGGUAGUCCUAGCCGUAAACGAUGAGCACUUGGUUGGAGACUCCUCCAUAGGUUUCCGGCCGUAGCGAAAGUGUUAAGUGCUCCGCCUGGGGAGUAUGGCCGCAAGGCUGAAACUUAAAUGAAUUGACGGGG